ensembl:lncRNA
GUUGGCGAAAACUAUGACGAAAAAUGUUCGUUAACGAACCUUUUUUCCAUGACUAGGACGAGACUAAGACGAGACGAAAACAAUCUUAAAAAAAAUAAAAACUAUGACUAAAUCUAUUCUAACUUUCGUUAACGAGACGAGACGAACAUGUUGGUGGUUGACGAAGUCACAAUACCGUUUCCCCCUAAAUUCGCAUGCAGCUGACAGACAACAGACCGGCAGAUAUUAACGCGUCAUGGUGACGUCAUCCACGAACCCAGAACGCCCACAGCGGUGCCGCGGUGGUUCUUGUGCACCGACGACGAACUGAUCUGUCAUUGCUUAGGGUCUCAUGUACCAAAUGUAAAGGCAUGGUGAGCCCUACUCUAGAGAGGAUCCUUCAGAACCUAGAGAGGUAUGAAGCUGUGAAGCUAUGAAGCAGAACUCCUGUAGCAGAUUUCUGGAGUGGAAUCCACGUCUGCUACUGUGGCGCCCGGAUGAGCUCAGCUGACGAGCAACCCGUAAUCAGCAUUAAUGAGGUCAGAGGAGGCGCUCAGCGGUGAUGGGAUAAGGACGUGUUCACAGCAAAACAGAACUGCUGUAAUCCGUGCUCUCUCUGAGAGAUCACGUGAGACCCGAAGAUCCAGCGAGGAAGCUUCUGUCCCUCUCCUUUGCUGAUGGACCUCCGCCAGGAAGCAGCCCGCUUAGUUUACGACAAAAUAAAUCUUCCCCUUCACGAAAUGACUCUGUUUACUGAACAAAUGUGUCGCCGGGCAGACGAGACGAGAUGUGGUGACUCUGGAGAGGUCUAACAAAUAAUCAUCUCUGAACUCCUCUGAUGUGCCUUUAUUAAACGUGCUUCAGUGCACGAGUUAAAUGCUUCAAAGCGUCAUUUCAUUGAACGCGUUCACGGGUAAUUUGUUAAAUGUAUUUCUGGUGGUCAGUCAGGCUUCAAGGCAGGCCAUUCCACAGAGACUGCUCUCCUUGCUGUCUCAGAGCAACUCCACACUGCUAGAGACGCCUCUGUUCUCAUCCUUCUGGACCUCUCUGCUGCAUUUGACACAGUCAACCACCAGAUCCUUAUUUCCUCCCUUCAGGAACCUGGAGAGGAUCUGUGUUGGAACCUUUCAAUUCAAUUCAAUUCAUUUUAUUUUGUAUAGACCAAAAUCGCAAAUUACAAAUUUGCCUCAGAGGGCUUUACAGUCUGUACACAUAUGACAUCCUCUGUCCCGAAACCCACCAUCGGCACAGGAAAACCUCCCCAAAAAAUGAAAAAACCCUUCCAAGAGGGAAAAAAGGGAAGAAACCUUAGGGAGAACGUCAGAGGAGGGAUCCCACUCCCGGGAUGGACCGACUACAAUGGAUGCCAUGUGUACAGAAUGAACAAUAUAUAAUACAUUCAAUUCCUAUGACAAAAAUGAUUCAAGUAAUUGUGAGUAGUAAGCCAGGCGCACAGCAGGACCACUGCAGGGGCAACCACCAUCAGAUAGAACCACCAUCUACAGAAGCCUGUGGGGAGGGAGAGCACAGAGACUUAAGGAGAGGGUAAUGUUGGUUUAUGAGUACAGUAAUAUGAUUAAUAUCUAAAAUAAUAAUGAUGAUGAUGAUGAUGAUGAUGGCAGAACCUUGUCCUCUUACCACUCAGGGUUCCGCCCUGGGUCCCCUGCUCUUCUCGCUCUACGCCAACUCUCUCGGCGCUGUCAUUCGCUUGCAUGGCUUCUCCUACCACAGUUAUGCCGAUGUCAC